rnacentral:rRNA from 1 species
UACGGGGGGGGCAAGCGUUGUUCGGAAUUACUGGGCGUAAAGGGCUCGUAGGCGGCCAACUAAGUCAGACGUGAAAUCCCUCGGCUUAACCGGGGAACUGCAUCUGAUACUGGAUGGCUUGAGUUCGGGAGAGGGAUGCGGAAUUCCAGGUGUAGCGGUGAAAUGCGCAGAUAUCGGGAGGAACACCGGUGGCGAAGGCGGUUCUCUGGGCCUUACCUGACGCUGAGGAGCGAAAGCGUGGGGAGCGAACAGG